rnacentral:piRNA from 1 species
UAGGUGUUUGGAACCUAUCUG